rnacentral:rRNA from 1 species
UGAGGAAUAUUGGUCAAUGGGCUUACGCCUGAACCAGCCAAGUCGCGUGAGGGAAGACUGCCCUAUGGGUUGUAAACCUCUUUUGUCAGGGAGCAAUUGGCGCUACGUGUAGCGUUAUCGAAAGUACCUGAAGAAAAAGCAUCGGCUAACUCCGUGCC